UACGUAGGGUGCAAGCGUUGUCCGGAAUUAUUGGGCGUAAAUAGCUUGUAGGCGGUUUGUCGCGUCUGCUGUGAAAUUUCGGGGCUCAACCCCGAACUUGCAGUGGGUACGGGCAGACUAGAGUGUGGUAGGGGAGACUGGAAUUCCUGGUGUAGCGGUGAAAUGCGCAGAUAUCAGGAGGAACACCGAUGGCGAAGGCAGGUCUCUGGGCCAUAACUGACGCUGAGAAGCGAAAGCAUGGGGAGCGAACAGG
rnacentral:rRNA from 1 species